rnacentral:rRNA from 1 species
GUGGGGAAUAUUGGACAAUGGGCGAAAGCCUGAUCCAGCCAUGCCGCGUGUGUGAAGAAGGUCUUCGGAUUGUAAAGCACUUUAAGUUGAGAGGAAGGGCAGUAAGUUAAUACCUUGCUGUUUUGACGUUACCAACAGAAUAAGCACCGGCUAACUUCGUGCCAGCAGCCGCGGUAAUACGAAGGGUGCAAGCGUUAAUCGGAAUUACUGGGCGUAAAGCGCGCGUAGGUGGUUCAGCAAGUUGGAGGUGAAAUCCCCGGGCUCAACCUGGGAACGGCCUCCAAAACUGCAUGACUAGAGUACGGUAGAGGGUAGUGGAAUUUCCUGUGUAGCGGUGAAAUGCGUAGAUAUAGGAAGGAACACCAGUGGCGAAGGCGACUACCUGGACUGAUACUGACACUGAGGUGCGAAAGCGUGGGGAGCAAACAGGAUUAGAAACCCCUGUAGUCC